UCCGGAAUCAUUGGGCGUAAAGCGCCUGUAGGUUGUUUAAUAAGUCCGUUGUUAAAGACUAGGGCUUAACCCUAGGAAAGCGAUGGAAACUGAUAGACUUGAGUAUGGCAGGGGUAGAGGGAAUUUCUAGUGUAGCGGUGAAAUGCGUAGAUAUUAGAAAGAACACCGGUGGCGAAAGCGCUCUACUGGACCAUUACUGACACUGAGAGGCGAAAGCUAGGGGAGCGAAAGGGAUUAGAUACCCCUGUAGUCCUAGCCGUAAACGAUGGAUACUAGAUGUUGUGCAAUUUGGACAGUAUCGUAGCUAACGCGUUAAGUAUCCCGCCUGGGGAGUACGCUCGCAAGGGUGAAACUCAAGGGAAUUGACGGGGGCCCGCACAAGCGGUGGAGCAUGUGGUUUAAUUCGAUGCAACGCGAAGAACCUUACCAGGGCUUGACAUACUACAGAUCCCUUUGAAAAAAGGGAGUGCCUUCGGGAAUGUAGAUACAGGUGGUGCAUGGCUGUCGUCAGCUCGUGUCGUGAGAUGUUGGGUUAAGUCCCGCAACGAGCGCAACCUUUAUUUUUAGUUACCAACUCGUUGGGUUCUCUAGAAAGACUGCCCGGUGACAAACCGGAGGAAGGUGAGGAUGACGUCAAGUCAGCAUGCCCCUUAUGUCCCUGGGCUACACACGUGCUACAAUGGCUAAGACAAAGAGUCGCGAGCUUGCAAAAGUCAGCUAAUCUCAUAAACUUUGCCUAAGUUC
rnacentral:rRNA from 1 species